UACGUAGGGUGCGAGCGUUAAUCGGAAUUACUGGGCGUAAAGCGUGCGUAGGCGGUUCGUUAAGUUCGUUGUGAAAGCCCCGGGCUCAACCUGGGAAUGGCAAUGGAAACUGGCGGGCUGGAGUAUGGCAGAGGGGGGUGGAAUUCCGCAUGUAGCAGUGAAAUGCGUAGAGAUGCGGAGGAACACCGAUGGCGAAGGCAGCCCCCUGGGCCAAUACUGACGCUCAGGCACGAAAGCGUGGGGAGCAAACAGG
rnacentral:rRNA from 1 species